rnacentral:rRNA from 1 species
GACGAACGCUGGCGGCGUGCCUAAUACAUGCAAGUAGGACGCAGUGGCGAACGGGGGAGUAACGCGUAGGUAACUACCUAUUAGAGGGGGAGAACAAUUGGAAACGAUAGCCAAUACCGCAUACUAGUAGAUGGAACUGCGUUUUAUUAGCUAGUAGGUAGGGUAAUGGCCUACCUAGGCAACGACACAUAGCCGACCUGAGAGGGUGAUCGGCCACACUGGGACCGAGACACGGCCCCGACUCCUACGUGAGGCAGCAGUAGGGAAUCUUCGGCAAUGGGGGGAACCCUUACCGAGCAACGCCGCGUGAGUGAAGAAGGUUUUCGGAUCGUAAAGCUCUGUUGUUAAGGAAGCGGUACUUAACCAGAAAGGGACGGCUAACUACGUGCCAGCAGCCGCGGUAAUUC